AAACUAACAAGGAUUCCCCUAGUAACGGCGAGCGAACCGGGAAGAGCUCAAAUUUGAAAUCUGGCGUCCUUCGGGCGUCCGAGUUGUAAUCUAUAGAGGCGUUUUCCGUGCCGGACCGUGUCCAAGUCCCUUGGAACAGGGUAUCAGAGAGGGUGACAAUCCCGUACUUGACACGACCACCGGUGCUCUGUGAUACGUCUUCUACGAGUCGAGUUGUUUGGGAAUGCAGCUCAAAACGGGUGGUAAACUCCAUCUAAAGCUAAAUAUUGGUGGGAGACCGAUAGCGAACAAGUACCGUGAGGGAAAGAUGAAAAGCACUUUGGAAAGAGAGUUAAACAGUAUGUGAAAUUGUUGAAAGGGAAACGAUUGAAGUCAGUCGUGUCCAUUGGAUUCAGCCGGUCCUGCCGGUCUACUUCCUUUGGACGGGUCAACAUCGGUUUUGGCCGACGGAUAAGGGCGGGGGGAAAGUAGCAACCUUCGGGUUGUGUUAUAGCCUCCUGUCGCAUACGUCGGCCGAGACCGAGGAACGCAGCUCGCCUUCAUGGCCGGGGUUCGCCCACGUACGAGCUUAGGAUGUUGACGUAAUGGCUUUAAACGACCCGUCUUG
rnacentral:rRNA from 1 species